rnacentral:lncRNA from 1 species
AUAAACUCGGGAAUAUUUCAACGGUUACUGGUUUGAUAGCCUUGAUUACUGGGCGAAUUGAUUUCGUUUGAUGACUGUGCUGACUACCAGAUCACGUCUAGGUUCAUCCCCCCUCUCUCACCUCUUCUCCCUCUAUCUUUCUGCUGCGCUCUUGUAUUCCCAUCACCAGCACUGCGCGCACACGUUCUGGCAAGAGCAGAGCCUCCAAAACACGUCCAGGUUCAUCCCCC